UACGACCAUAACACGUUGAAACACCGGUUCUCGUACAAUCACUGAAGUUAAGCAACACCGAGCUUGGUCAGUAGCUACAUGGGUGACACCUUUGGAAUAUCAAGUGCUGUA